UGGGGAAUAUUGGGGCAAUGGGCGCAAGCCUGACCCAGCAACGCCGCGUGAAGGAAGAAGGCUUUCGGGUUGUAAACUUCUUUUCUCAGGGACGAAGCAAGUGACGGUACCUGAGGAAUAAGCCACGGCUAACUACGUGCC
rnacentral:rRNA from 1 species